rnacentral:rRNA from 1 species
AAACGACUCUCGGCAACGGAUAUCUCGGCUCACGCAUCGAUGAAGAACGUAGCAAAAUGCGAUACUUGGUGUGAAUUGCAGAAUCCCGUGAACCAUCGAGUUUUUGAACGCAAGUUGCGCCCGAUGCCUCUGGUUGAGGGCACGCCUGCCUGGGCGUCACGCAUCAU